CGGGGGGGGGCAGGGUAAAAAAAAAACCCUUUUAUCAGCCAUAGGUUAAUGCAAGUGUUUAACAGAUGCUUCGCUAUUAAAAUAUUUCCCCCCAAUACUGAAGAAUCUUAAACCAGCAACCCUAACAGAGAUUGCGAAGAUUUUCAAAGUGGGGCACCUCGAUUUCUCGAAUCUGUGGUGUGGCGAAUAUCCGUGUUCCUCCUGCUUAACUAGCCUGUUUGAAGGCACAGUUCAUUCUCGAGCAAUUCGUCACCUCCUGGGGGUCUUCUCUUCCCGUCUACAGGAGAGUGUGACUUCAGAAAGAACUUCGGAUUGGCCAAGGCAGGUCUGAUUCUAUUUAUUCUAAAGACAGAGUUGGAGAUGGGCUACCAUUGGUGUUGAUUGAGAUGACAAGCAGUCACCUGAGCCCAUACAGCUGGGUUCACAGAUGUGGCUAGUCUUGCUAGCCAGCUCGCACUGUGGACAUUCUAGGGAACUGACUGCAGUCCUCAUGCUUGGAGUCAAACACUUUAACCACUGCACACGUUUAUGUAAUAGGAUUGACAUAUGAGAAUCAGAGAAAUGAAUGAAAGAUUAGAGGUAAGCAAGAGCCAAGUAAUAGUGGAGGUGAGAGGGGGAAGUGGGCGUGACUGUGUGAGAGGGGGAAGUGGGCGUGACUGUGUGAGAGGGGGAAGUGGGCGUGGCCGCGUGAGAGGGGGGAAGUGGGCGUGGCCGCGUGAGAGGGGGAAGUGGGCGUGGCUGUGUGAGAGGGGGAAGUGGGCGUGACUACAAAAGGACAGCAAUGGAUUCCAGGCUCAAAGCAAACAAUUUGUAUUUAGCUGUGGC
rnacentral:lncRNA from 1 species